GAAAUUAUUCGAGCAAAUACGAGGUAAGUUCGUGUAGCUAGAAUUAAAUUAUUAAAUAUUUGUAAUUGUCCAAAAAUGAAUGUAUGUAAGUUGAAUGAAUGAUAUACUUGAAUUUUAAAUUACCGGUAUACUAUUAUAUUACUGUUUACAUGAAUGCAAAUGAAAUGUUACAAAUACUAUAUACGUUAUAUAGAUUUGGCAUGAUAAUAGGCAUUGAAUAUGAAAUUUUGAGUAUUUAAAUGUAUGUACUUAAUAAUAUUAGAUAUAUAUAUAUACACAUAUGAAUUGAGAAAUUGAGUUAUUGAUUUUGCAUUGCUUAAUUGAUGAAAUUGAAUAAUACUGAGCCCGUUUGAACUUUAGAAAAUUGUCGGAUACGAGUGACUUGUCACUAGGGUUACCAUUUGGUCGAGCUCCUGCAUUUGUUACGGACUCACCACAGCUCGUAUGAGCUUACCGUUUCAGCUCAAUAGAGCUUACCAUUUAUCAGCUCGGAAUGAGCUUACCGAUCAUGGCUCGAAAGAGUGAAAAUGACAAUGAAUUGACGAAUUUCUGAUAAAUACACUUAUAGUAUAUCACCCGUGUAUCCCUCGAUGUUCUAAUAGCUUCAACGGGCAGAAUUACUGUUACUGAUUAUAUGAAUAAGCUAUGUAAUUAGAUGGAUGAGUUACCGUUGAUAUGUAUAAGUUAUGGAUAAAUUUCUGUUAUUACCGAUGAAUUGCAGGUUAUAUGAAUAGGAAAGAAUUGAUAUAAAUGUUAUAUGAUUUACAUGAUUUAAAAGUUACAUGAAAUACAUGAUUUACAUGGAUUGUUGUUUUAUGAAUAUAUGAAUUAUAGGGACGACAUGAUAUAUUUGGCUAUAUGACUAACUCGUGGAUGGUGAUGUGAAUAGACUUUGUGGACAAAUAAAUUGAUUUUAAUUGUUUUAAUGCUUAGAUAUUAAAUUGAAAAAUUUUAAUUCUAUAUUAUACGGCUUACUAAGCUUAGUGCUUACUUCAUUCAUUUUCUUAUGUUCUAUAGAUUCGGAAGCUAGCUCGAUUUUGGACAAGGUCAGAGAUUGGCUAUCACACUAUCAAAACGAUUUUUGGUACUUUUGGACCUCAUGCAAUUAAUGUAAAUAUGGCAUGUAUAGAUAGUUUUUGGUAUGAAUUUUUGGGUUUGAUCAAGCUAUGUGAUAUGGCUUGAGUUGGAAAUGUUUAGUUUAGAAUGGAAACAUUAUGUGUUAUGUUCAUUUUG
rnacentral:lncRNA from 1 species